rnacentral:tRNA from 1 species
GGCUUUUGCGGCCAGCGCAGGCACCGCAGACAUUUCCGGAAUGUUUAAAAAAUCAGCUUGUUGGAAGGUGGGGUUGGGGUACUCAUAAUAGCCU